CCCGGGCUCGGAUCCUGGCAGUGCCCUGCCCGGGCUCGGGGCUCGGGGCUCGGGGCUCGGGGCUCCGGCCCGGGGC